AGCGAACGCUGGCGGCAGGCCUAACACAUGCAAGUCGAACGGACCCUUCGGGGUUAGUGGCGGACGGGUGAGUAACACGUGGGAACGUGCCUUUAGGUUCGGAAUAGCUCCUGGAAACGGGUGGUAAUGCCGAAUGUGCCCUUCGGGGGAAAGAUUUAUCGCCUUUAGAGCGGCCCGCGUCUGAUUAGCUAGUUGGUGAGGUAACGGCUCACCAAGGCGCCGAUCAGUAGCUGGUCUGAGAGGAUGACCAGCCACACUGGGACUGAGACACGGCCCAGACUCCUACGGGAGGCAGCAGUGGGGAAUCUUGCGCAAUGGGCGAAAGCCUGACGCAGCCAUGCCGCGUGAAUGAUGAAGGUCUUAGGAUUGUAAAAUUCUUUCACCGGGGACGAUAAUGACGGUACCCGGAGAAGAAGCCCCGGCUAACUUCGUG
rnacentral:rRNA from 1 species